CACUGAUUUGACGAUGGAUCACCAGUGAGCGGCGGACGGGUGAGUAACACGUGGGUAACCUGCCCUGGAGCGGGGGAUAACAUUUGGAAACAGGUGCUAAUACCGCAUAACUACGAAAACCACAUGGUUUUCGUAUAAAAGAUGGUUUCGGCUAUCACUUUAGGAUGGGCCCGCGGUGCAUUAGCUAGUUGGUAGGGUAACGGCUUACCAAGGCAAUGAUGCAUAGCCGAGUUGAGAGACUGAACGGCCACAUUGGGACUGAGACACGGCCCAAACUCC
rnacentral:rRNA from 1 species